AGAGUUUGAUCCUGGCUCAGGACGAACGCUGGCGGCGUGCUUUACACAUGCAAGUCGAACGGAGAAGCACCUUCGGGUGUGGAUCAGUGGCGAACGGGUGAGUAACACGUGGGUAACCUGCCCCUCACUUCGGGAUAACUCCGGGAAACCGGGGCUAAUACUGGAUAUCACCAGACCGGGCAUCCGGACUGGUUGAAAGGGUUUACUGGUGAGGGAUGGACCCGCGGCCUAUCAGCUAGUUGGUGGGGUAAUGGCCUACCAAGGCGACGACGGGUAGCCGGCCUGAGAGGGCGACCGGCCACACUGGGACUGAGACACGGCCCAGACUCCUACGGGAGGCAGCAGUGGGGAAUAUUGCGCAAUGGACGAAAGUCUGACGCAGCAACGCCGCGUGAGGGAACGAAGGCCUUUGGGUUGUAAACCUCUUUCAGCAGGGACGAAGCGAAAGUGACGGUACCUGCAGAAGAAGCACCGGCUAACUACGUGCCAGCAGCCGCGGUAAUACGUAGGGUGCAAGCGUUGUCCGGAUUUAUUGGGCGUAAAGGGCUCGUAGGCGGUCUGUCGCGUCGGAAGUGAAAACCUGGAGCUCAACUCCAGGCCUGCUUUCGAUACGGGCAGACUAGAGUUCGGUAGGGGAGACUGGAAUUCCUGGUGUAGCGGUGGAAUGCGCAGAUAUCAGGAGGAACACCAAUGGCGAAGGCAGGUCUCUGGGCCGACACUGACGCUGAGGAGCGAAAGCGUGGGUAGCAAACAGGAUUAGAUACCCUGGUAGUCCACGCCGUAAACGGUGGGCGCUAGGUGUGGGGAACAAUCUACGUUUUCCGCGCCGCAGCUAACGCAUUAAGCGCCCCGCCUGGGGAGUACGGCCGCAAGGCUAAAACUCAAAGGAAUUGACGG
rnacentral:rRNA from 1 species